rnacentral:tRNA from 1 species
GAGGGUAUAGCUAAGUGGUAGAGUGUGUGCUUAGCAUGCACGAAGUCCUGGGUUCAAUCUUCACUACCUCUA